rfam:Bombyx mori DNA, contig: Bm_scaf1_contig600, strain: p50T/Dazao, build 2, whole genome shotgun sequence.
UUAACUCAAAUUUGUAUGGAGUGGGAACAGAGCCUUUAGCGGCAAAUGUACGAGAGCUGUUCUAUCUCCAUACAAAUUUGAGUUA